UACGAAGGGGGCUAGCGUUGCUCGGAAUUACUGGGCGUAAAGCGCACGUAGACGGCUUGUUAAGUCAGGGGUGAAAUCCUGGAGCUCAACUCCAGAACUGCCUUUGAUACUGGCGAGCUUGAGUUCGGGAGAGGUGAGUGGAACUGCGAGUGUAGAGGUGAAAUUCGUAGAUAUUCGCAAGAACACCAGUGGCGAAGGCGGCUCACUGGCCCGAUACUGACGCUGAGGUGCGAAAGCGUGGGGAGCAAACAGG
rnacentral:rRNA from 1 species